rnacentral:tRNA from 1 species
AAGGGAGACCUAAUUCGGGUAGAAGACGAAAAAAUAGUAGUCGAAACCAAGAAUCAAUCCCAAAAGGUCGGAACGAGGUAUGUGGCUUUCAAACUAGGUUCUGGGUUCACAAAAGACCUGAAUCAGGAACAAGGGCUAUUAGCUCAGGUGGCUAGAGCGCACCCCUGAUAAGGGUGAGGUCCCUGGUUCGAGUCCAGGAUGGCCCACCUGCACAGGUGGCAAAAACAAGAGAAACGAGGAAUCAGCACCUUAUCUUACUUACAUAGUAAGAGAGAAUGCUGGCUCUGAGUAAAGAGUCCAGAGGAACCUUGAAAACUGCAUAGAGCUAGGUGAAAAAGCCAAAAAAGAAGACCGCAA